rnacentral:rRNA from 1 species
CAGCCGCCGCGGUAAUACCAGCCCCGCGAGUGGUCGGGACGGUUAUUGGGCCUAAAGCGCCCGUAGCCGGCCCGGCAAGUCCCUCCUUAAAGCCUCGGGCCCAACCCGAGGACGGGGGGGAUACUGCCGGGCUAGGGGGCGGGAGAGGCCGGCGGUACUCCCGGGGGAGGGGCGAAAUCCGUUAAUCCCGGGAGGGCCACCAGUGGCGAAGGCGGCCGGCUGGAACGCGCCCGACGGUGAGGGGCGAAAGCCGGGGGAGCGAACCGGAUUAGAUACCCGGGUAGUCCCGGCUGUAAACGAUGCGGGCUAGCUGUUGGGCGGGCUUAGAGCCCGCCCAGUGGCGCAGGGAAGCCGUUAAGUCCGCCGCCUGGGGAGUACGGCCGCAAGGCUGAAACUUAAAGGAAUUGGCGGG